GUGUUCAUUUCGGGAGUACAUUUACUAAAAUUGGAACAAUACAGAGAAAAUUAGCCUGUCUCCUCUUCAAGGAGGGCAUGCAAAUAUGUGAAUCUUUCGAUAUAAUU
ensembl:snRNA U6 U6 spliceosomal RNA